GGCAGAGGGAGAGAGAAUCCCAAGCAGGCUCGACACCCAAUACAGAGUCCAACGCAGGGCUCAAUCUCACAACCCCAAGAUCACCACCUGAGCCAAAAUCAAAUGUUGGACAUUUAACCUCCUUUGCUACCUAAGCACCCUAUUCUUUAUAUAUUCUGAGUAGGAAUUGUCCUUGUAAGUAACUUGUAACUUCUCCCCUUCAAUGGCUUGCCUCUUCACUCUCAUACUGGUAUCUAUUAAUGAAUAGAAAUCUUUAAUUGCCAUAAAGUUUAGCUUAGUCGAAAGUUAAAUAAAAUUUAAAAGUUUACUUCCUCAGUUACACUAGAUGUUUGAAGAGCUCAAUAGCCACAUGUAUCUAGUGGCUACCAUAUAGGAAAGUGCAGAUUAUUAUAGAACAUUUCUACCAUUGUAGAAAGUUCUGGGCAACACUCUUCUAGAAGCAUAAUGCUUUUACUUCUACAUAAUGUCCGCUUUUCACAAUUUGAUUAACCAGGUACCCAGAAUGAAUUUUUUAUGUAGCGUAAUAUAUGGGGAUUAAGAUUUUUUUUCCAUCUGGCCAUCAGACUCACCAGUGAGUGAAAAUUUGUUUAAGUAAAAACCACAAUGAAUACCAUUGAACAUCCACUGAGAACAGCAAAAAUGUUUAGAUAUAAUACCAAGUGUUGUUGAGGGCGUGGAGAGCAAUAAAAAGUCGUAUAUGCUACCAGUGGCAAAUGAACUUGUAGAACUUUCUUUGAAAACAAUGUGGUAAUGCUGCGCGUUUUCUGUAACUUGUUUUUUUCCACAGAUGCACCAGGAAUUUUCAUAAUAAGUGUUUUUCAUCAAACCAGAAACAACCUAGAGUGUCUAUCAAUAGUAAAUAAAUCUGGUAUAUAUAUUUGCACAAUAAGACCUACACACAAUUGGGAUGAAUUUCACAGUAUUCGUGCUAGGAAGAAAAGAGAAUGAAAAUAAGGUAGCGUGAAGGAAUGAAAGAGUGAAGAUAAUGAAGGGUCUUUGUGCAGUAUACUAGGAGUUUCUACAGCAGAGACCUAAUCCAGCUGAUGACUCCAAACUUGGGACUUCCAGGCUGCAGCAGGAACAAAAUGGGAAGUUGUUAAACACACAUCCAUCUUCCCAACAGUAUUAUCCUACAUCUGGGAGGAAGCUUUCCAAACAGGACCUGGCCAAUUGCAAACCUUUCUCCGCAUUUACUCACACCUCGACCCAGCUAAGGAACACAGAAAAGAUGGGAUAGACUUAGUGAGGAGCCCUCCCUUCUCUAGCUCAUCUCAUCUUGAUGGUAGGUGUGUGAAAUCCAGUGCAGUUCCCAGAGGUCUCAAGCUCUUGUGGGAGUAGUAAGUGCUGCCCUGUACACCUCUUUGCCUCUCCUUGCUCAUAUACAGUAUUUUCUUUCUUUGUAGCUUGGCUUCCGUGAAAAAGAAUAUUUUUAGUAAGCUACUCAUUGUUUACCAAAAGCAGCCUUAAAAAGCACAGAGCAAGGGAUUCUGGGUUCAGUAAACCCACAAGUAGAAGACAGAUUUGCCUCCUCUUAAUUGGGCUCUGGAGCAUUUGCCUUUAGAGGAAGUGAGUAAAGCAAACAUCACAGGGAUUAUGAGUGAAUAUCCCUGAAACAAAUCUGUGCGUGAGUUUUGCUGAGCAAAGAAACUCACUGACUGUAAACCAAGUGUUCACUCAGUCUGUAAGACAACCAGAGGUGCGCAGAAAUUAAAGUAGUAAAAGCCUGGAGCCAGAACGACCGUGGAGCAUGAGAGACACUCACCAUGGGCAUAACAUUUAAGUAAAUUUCAGUAAUCAAGAAGUAAUAUGCGAGUGCAGCAUUUUAAAAAGACAAGAACUAAAAGGGCCAGAUUAGGGUCAGUGAGGUGAGACAUGCAAGUAUGGGGUCAGAUUUUUGUGUUUAUUUAAAAUCUUGAACUCUAUUGACUGGGGACUUCUUUUGCAUUAGUUUUGGUUUUUAAAAAAUACUAUAUUAAAAUAGUCUUUAUCCUGAUUACUGAGGUUUAUGGCCCCCCUUAAAUUUGACACAUGUGGUGCAUGCCUAACUUGCCUCUCCCAAAUCCCAGGCCUGGACAUUGUUUCCUCAACCAUGUGGGGGAAACACAAAUAAACAGACAGAUAUAGCUUCUUCCCUCAAGGAAAUAAUGCAAUGUCUCCUUUUCCUUUGAAAAACAAAUGAAAGGAUUUAAGUAGAUUAUCAAGAAGCACUGGUAUUGGGGCACCUGGGUUGCUCAGUGGUUGAGCCUCUGCCUUCGGCUCAGGUUGUGAUCCCGGAGUCCUGGGAUCGAGUCCCACAUGCUUCUCCCUCUGCCUGUGUCUCUGCCUCUCUCGCUCUCUCUCUGUGUCUCUCAUGAAUAAA